UAUAUUGCAGGCGAAGAAAAAGAAGAACAGUUGCCGUGUGAUUUUGAAGGUGGCACUGCUAUUAUUGGUCCAGUUGAAGACGCAGCUGCAACUGACUCUACUUCCAACAUCAAUGUUUGGACUGGCUUACAGUGCUAUAUAUAGCAACACUGAUUGCGAUGAUGAUAUUGAAAACCUGGAUAUAAGGAAGGAAGAUGAUAAUUAUUCUCAUCUUUCUCACUCUCCUGGGGUACAAUGUGAUAUUUGGAAAGAAGAAUUCUACGACGAACAAGAAAUUAUAGAAAAUGUAGAUACGAGCUUGUAUAAUUUGGAACGUCAAAUUGUGUUAACUAAUUCUCAUGAAGAUAAUAAAGGAAGGUCACCAAAAAGUGGUGAAGUGAUGAUAGUUGAGCAGUUAUCAUGUGAUGAGGAACUUUCCAAUCCAGUUGAAGAGGAACUUUCCAGUCCAGUUAAAGCAGAACUUUCCAGUCCAGUAAAAGUGGAAUUUGAUACAUUUCUGCAGGACACUGCUCCCACCAUCACUGUUUGGACUGGCUUACAGUGCAGCAGUAGUGAUGACAACUGAUGGUGAUGUUGGAAAAGUGAAAAUUACCCACUCUCUCUCCCUUUCCUGAGGCAGAAUGUGAGUUUAUAAGAAGAAAUUAAAAAAAAUGUCUAUGGGUUGGAACGAAUUAAAACACAAACCUGGUUUUUUUUAAAUUCUCACGAAUGUUAAGAAAAGUCAGCCAAUAAAGUGGAUAACACAGUUUUCCCUGCAAAAUCCCUGCUCCAGGCACCACAAGUCAUCAAACAACGCAUCAAAUUCCUCGCAGUCUCCAAGUGGGGCUGAGAUUUUCCAUCGGCCUGUAGUUUGGCCCAUGUAUGAACCAGGUCAUGAGUGGGUCCCAACUUCUACAUCAUUCCACAUCUGACUCUUAGCUCUACAAUGCCUCUCAGGAAUUGCAAAAUAUUUAUUUUACUCUGCAAAGGGUACUCGGAUAUAUGGUAAUCCUCAAGUUGGUCUCAGUAACUGUGAACCUUUGAACAAGUCAUGGUGGAUAUUAACAAGCAGAUGAGAGAAGAUACAGGUGCUCCUCAACUUACAAUGGUUUAACUUAGGGUAUUUCAACUUUACGAUGGUGCGAAAGCAAUAACUUUGGAGACGGAACUUAAGAUAAUUUCCCAGUAUGAAGGCGGCAAGUCCCUAACUUGUAUUCAUUUACAUGUAUUUACUUUUCAAAACUGGUAUUUAGUUGCAGUAAUUAUUUAAUUACUUAUUCAUUGACAGUAGUUAUUUAGUUGAUUACUUAGCAUAUACAGUGGACCCCCGCAUAACGAUCACCUCCGAAUGCGACCAAUUAUGUAAGCGUAUUUAUGUAAGUGCGUUUGUAAGUGUAUGUUUGGGGAUCUGAAAUGGACUAAUCUACUUCACAAUAUUCCUUAUGGGAACAAAUUCGGUCAGUACUGGCACCUGAACAUACUUCUGGAGUGAAAAAAUAUCAUUAACCGGGGGUCCACUGUAUUCAUAUUAAACUUCCAAUGGGUUCAUUGGAGCGUAACCCCUUUGUAAGUUGAAGAACACCUGUAUAUUUUUUUUCAACACAGGUAAGGUGACCUAAAUAAGAAGAAGUACUUUCACCAUCACUCACUCCAUCAGUCUUGCCAGAGGUGUACUGGUACUUCAGUUCUAAACUGCAAAUAUCAAUGCCCCUCCUUCAGAGUGCCAGCACUGUACUUCCCACCUCCGGGACUCGAGUCUGGCUUGCUAGUUUCCCUGAAUCCCUUCAUAAAUGUUACAAUUAUUACCAGAUCAUUAAUUUCUAAAAAGUAAACAUUCUCUGUUUCAUACAUUUUUUUUUGUAAAUGGUAUUAAUAAAGAAGGUAAGUAUUCUCUAUGAUAUAGUAAGAGUCAUCAUUACAAUAUUAGCCCUUAAACUGUCCAAACGUAGAUCUAUGUUCAUGUGUAGCGCUCUGACCUUUAUUUUCUCCAUUUGAAAGCAUGUAAAAAAAAAAACAUAGCUCUACAUUCGGAGCUCUACGUAGCUGAACGUAGAUCUACAUUAAGACAGUUUAUGGGUUAAGAGAGACCUCUGAGCAUAUGCUGCCUGUCGCUUGUUCAACCCUCUUUCCUGUUUCCUUUACUCCUAAAUCAAUUGAUGAGCUAGGAUACAAGCAUACGUAUAUUUUGUAUUUUCCAUCAUAUAAGGUGUGUCUUUUUUUUCUCCACAAAAAGUCUUGAAAAAUCAGCCUACACCUUGUAUGCUCAAGGUCAGAGUCAAGGGCAGGUUUUGGGUUACGCUUUAGCGUAAAGUAAGAGGGUAAUUAGCCCUUGAUAUUACUGAUUUACCAUUAUGAUACUUCUGUCGUGUCCCUUAUAUACCGGAAAAUAUGGUACUUAUUGAGGGCUCAAUGAUUCUCAUUACUUUUAUGGCCCAACAUGGCAUUUUUAGUUAUUAGCAUUGAAAAUGUUUACUGUACAAUAUUCACCUAGUCCAUCAGUAUAUAUAUUCUUCUAUGCUUUUAUAUAAAUAAAAAAUGUACAACUU